CAGUCGCCGCGGUAAUACGAAGGCGGCUAGCGUUGUUCGGAAUUACUGGGCGUAAAGCGCACGUAGGCGGAUAUUUAAGUCAGGGGUGAAAUCCCAGAGCUCAACUCUGGAACUGCCUUUGAUACUGGGUAUCUUGAGUAUGGAAGAGGUGAGUGGAAUUCCGAGUGUAGAGGUGAAAUUCGUAGAUAUUCGGAGGAACACCAGUGGCGAAGGCGGCUCACUGGUCCAUUACUGACGCUGAGGUGCGAAAGCGUGGGGAGCAAACAGGAUUAGAUACCCCAGUAGUCCCUGUCUCUUAUAC
rnacentral:rRNA from 1 species